rnacentral:rRNA from 1 species
GAUGAACGCUGGCGGCGUGCCUAAUACAUGCAAGUCGAACGAAAGGGCGCGGCGCUUGCUGUUCGGAUGUGAGCGGAGCGCGGGUGUGUAACGCGUGGAUACCGUACCUAUCAGUGUGGGAUAACUUCGAAAAACCGGCGCUUAUACCGGAGAAUAUUCUGCACCACAGGGGGCGUAGGUAAAUGACGGUCUUUCGGGCUCGAAUAGAGGGGUAUGCGCUGGUUGGUGGGGUAGGGGCUUACCAAGGUUUUGAAGGGUAGCCGACCUAAGAGGGUGAUCGGCCACCCUGGAGGUUGGACACGGUCCAGGGGCCUGCGGGAGGCAGCAGGCUGCAAUCUGCCGCAAUGGGCGGGAACCUGACGGAGCAACGCCGCGUGAGUUAUGAAGGUCUUCGGUGCGUAAAACUCUGUUAUUAGUUAAGAACAGCUUUGGCCGUAACUGAGCAGUGAGUGACGGUACCUAGUCAGAAAGCCCCGGCUAACUACGUG